AAUAGAUACCCAGGUAGUCCCAGCCCUAAACGAUGGAUACUAGGUGUCGGGGGUAUCGACCCCUCCGGUGCCGCCGCUAACGCAGUAAGUAUCCCGCCUGGGGAGUACGGCCGCAAGGUUGAAACUCAAAGGAAUUGACGGGGGCCCGCACAAGCGGUGGAGCAUGUUGUUUAAUACGUCACUAACCGUAGAACCUUACCAGGGUUUGACAUGGCGUGAUCUCCUAUGAAAGUAGGCUUCCCCGCAAGGGGACACGCACACAGGUGUUGCAUGGCUGCCGUCAGCUCGUGUCGUGAGAUGUUGGGUUAAGUCCCGCAACGAGCGCAACCCUUGUCCUUAGUUGCCUUCUCUAAGGAGACCGCCGGUCUAAACCGGAGGAAGGUAGGGAUGACGUCAAGUCAGCACGGCUCUUACGUCGAGGGGCUACACACACGCUACAAUGGCCGGUACAACGGGCUGCGAAGGGGCGACCUGGAGCUAAUCCCACCAAAGCCGGUCUCAGUUCGGAUUGCAGGCUGCAACUCGCCUGCAUGAAGUCGGAGUUGCUAGUAA
rnacentral:rRNA from 1 species